GUCAUGUUUGGACUUUCCAUCAUGUUACUUCCUAUGACACAAUUUGUUAUCUACGAGUCUGACUCUUCGCCUUUCCACAGCCACAAAUGACUCUGGAAUUACGAGCUGUUAUCUGAUAAAGUUGCUGUUUAAUGCUUUAUUUUGAUGGCAGAAAAAAUGUUGUGGGUCUUUGGUAUCUUGAUGGUGCUUUAGCUCACUUCUUUCUGG
rnacentral:misc_RNA from 1 species